UAAAAUAAUAAUUUAAUUUUAAUUUUUAUUUUUAAGGAAAAAUCUUUAGUCUAAUUUAAGUAUUUUAUAAAGAAAAAAAAUUGAGUAAUUAUAUAUUUAACUGUAAAGGAUUUUAUCUUUUUGUAUAUUAGAAAUUUUAAUUAAGUGUACCUUUUGUAUCAGGGUUUAUCAAUUUAACUUUAAUUAAUUUAAUUUUCCCGAAAGUUAAGGAUUUAUGUAAAAAUGUUUAAAUAAGUAUUAAAUUAUUAAUAAAUUUUUAUAUAGUGGUUAUAUGCUUUUCAACUUAAUUAUAUCUGGUUUUUUCUAAAUUAAUUUAAUUUAUGUUAAAGUUUUAUGUUUAAUCUUAUGUUUUAUUUUUAAUAACUUUAACUAAAUAUUAGGGGGAUAAGCUCUUAAUAAUUUUUAUAAUUUUCUUUUCUUCCAACAUUUGAAUUAGGAUUAAAAUUGUCUUAUAUUUUUUAUAAAAAUAAUUGUUUAGAAGUCUAAUUUUUUUUAAUUUAAAAUUUUAGUUAAAAUUUUUAAAGAAUAUCUUUUUAAAAGGGAUAAUGAUAGAAUUAGUAAUAUUAAAUAACUAAUUUAAGAAUUCGGCAAAUUUUGUUCUCGAAUGUUUAAUAAAAACAUUUCUUUAUGCUUUAAAAUAUAAAGUAUAACCUGCUCAAUGAAUAUUUUAAAUAGCCGCGAUUAAAUCGUGCGAAGGUAGCAUAAUAAUUUGUCUUUUAAUUAAGGUCUUGAAUGAAGGGUUGAACGAGGGACAGACUUUUUUAAUUAGUUUUUUUUUAAUUUUAUUUUUUAGUUAAAAAGCUAAAAUAAAUUUAUGGGACGAUAAGACCCUAUAGAAUUUUAUUAAAAUGAAUAUUUCAUUAAAGUAUUAUGUUUGCUUUUUAAAUAUAAAUUUUAAUUGGGUUGGGGCGAUUGUUAAAAUGAACUAACUUUAACUUUUAUUUUGUCAUCAAUUAAUGAUUUUUUGACCCUGAGAUUCAGGUUAAUAAAAUAAAUUACCUUAGGGAUAACAGCGUUAUUUUCUUGGAGAGUUCACAUUAAUAGGAAAGUUUGCGACCUCGAUGUUGGAUUAAAAUUAAUCUAUGGUGAAGUAGCUUUAGAUUUAAGUCUGUUCGACUUUUAAAAUUUUACAUGAUCUGAGUUAAGACCGGCGUGAGCCAGGUUGGUUUCUAUCUAUAAUUUGAGUUUAAUAUCUUAGUACGAAAGGACCAGAUAAUACAAAUAAUUUGU
rnacentral:rRNA from 1 species